CACUACAUAGAGUUCCAAAUGUUUUCGGACAUUGUUUUGCGAACUACUGCUUCAUUGACAGGCGUCUGUUGUGUUCGAAGGCGACUUUGGACUUGCAGUCGUUUCAACAAUGGUCAAGUUUUCGGACUUGAAAGUGUGUUUAUUGGCGAUGUGGUGUUUGUUGGUGGCGUUGAGUUUUCACGACUCUUCGUUGUCGGCUAAACAAUCGAGAGUGAGCGUUUAGUCGGGCUGGUGUUUUACGAUCGUUUUGUUGUGAUUUGCCGUUGUGCAAUUUUUUCCAAACGUUCGAACACCUUGGCCGGGCUUUCGUUUUGCGAUGGCGCUUAGUCGUUGUUGCUGCUCGUUUGGCACUUUUCGCUUAGUUGU
rnacentral:misc_RNA from 1 species